rnacentral:rRNA from 1 species
UACGGAGGGUGCGAGCGUUGUCCGGAAUCACUGGGCGUAAAGGGCGCGUAGGCGGCCCGGCAAGUCAGUGGUGAAAGCCCGAGGCUCAACUUCGGGUCGGCCACUGAUACUGCUAGGCUUGAGUCGACUAGAGGCAGAUGGAAUUCCGGGUGUAGCGGUGGAAUGCGUAGAGAUCCGGAAGAACACCGGUGGCGAAGGCGGUCUGCUGGGGUCGAACUGACGCUGAGGCGCGACAGCGUGGGGAGCAAACAGG